GGCUGGGCUGUGGACCCUUUGAGAGCUCCAGUGGUUGAACUGCUGUUCAGUUUAGACCAUCAACCCAGUUUCGCACAGAGCAAAAGCUGUGGUAGCACAAACCAUUGCUGUCACCCUGGCUGAGGACUCACCAGGGCUGGAGGGAUGAAGCAAAAAUGCUCCCUCCCAGGCCUAGUCCCUUAAUCAGGAGCCCUGACUUCUGGGUCUCCAGUUUACCACCUCUCUGGUCCUGGUGUGCCGUCCCUGCUCUUCCAUGUGCAGUGACUGGACGACCAUAAGCAACACCCUGACUUCAGGUCUUCACGUCUUUCCUCCACCGUGAGCUGCGAUGAUCUCAGUGAGUCUUGUUCUCUACCCUGUUGGGAAUGGCUGCAGGACCCUGCCGGCACUCUGCUGUAUUCUGUCAUUCACAUCUUAUGUACUCUGGCUACUCCCAGUUUGUAGGCCAUAAGGAAUCCCCAACAGGUCAUGGGAGCAUCACUGCUUCCCAGGCUGGAGGUGGUGAUGGGCCGUGCAGAGCACUGGGCAUCUUCCUGCCGGUGGAAUGAGGCCUCCAGGUUGGUCACCCACUUUUGGUCACCUUCCUUCUAGGUGUGAUGCCAGAUUUCAUUGCAAGUAGAUUUCCCUGAACAUCAGAACUUCUGACCACCAAAUGCAAAGACCUAUCCCAAGGUCAAACAGAAGUCAUAUUCACUGUCGGCUCUCCCCGGCCCCCCAGGACAAAUAAGAUAAGAACGGGGAGAUGGUAUGGGUCUCACUGCAGGUGAACUUAAGGGUAACCGAGGAGCCAGAAGAAACAUGAGCACAGAAAGGAAGACUGGGUGUUGGAGUCUGUAAGCAACUGGGAACUGGCCUGAGGGUUGCAAAGCUGUUGGGUGUGAGGUAGGGAGUCAAGGUCCCCCAGAGGAGGAGGCAGUGUUGGGUUAGGACCCAGAGCCUACCACUGCCUGUAGAAAAGCAUCCUUUUACAAAGGCUUUCUUUCUUUUUAUGACUUUUAUGGGUACAUUGUAUACAUAAUUGUAAUUAUAUAUAAUAAUGGGUGUCACUGUGACAUAUCUCUGCAGGCACAUAGCUAAUUUGCUCAGUCUCAUUCCCCAGGGCCUCCCCC
rnacentral:lncRNA from 1 species